GAAUCCUUGAGCUAUAACAAUCCAAGAUGGCCGCCUGUCUGAUCAACAAACGCUCAAGAUUUAAUUCGUGAAUUAUUCGAUUAUGUUGAUAACUGUGACUUAGAUUAUCCGUUAUAAGUGAUGAUUACGAAGUGCUGUGUUCGAGAAUGUAAUUGAAGAGGAGACGUGUGUGUCAAAAUGGACAACAUUGAAUCGAAAAGAAGCAUCAUACCAAGUUCCUCCAGUGCUGUGUUGCACAUUAAGUAGUAAUCCCAGAGGUGUUCGUCAAGAAAGAGCCUUUUCUGGCUUCUGCAGAAUUCCAGCGAUUUUUCCUUGAAGAUGAAAUCCAACACAACAAAUCAGAAAGUGAGGUUUGCCCCGCCCACUUACAACGCCUUCAAGUGAAGUUGACCCCGCCCAUUUGCAACGUCUCCAGGCUAUAAAAUUCUACAAAGCACAACAGAAAAUCUUAGUCUGCUGCUGCUGCCACUUGCGACGGUAUCAAGCUGACCUUAAAGAACUCAACCUAGCGUCAGUUCAGUGUUUGAAGAUUCCAUUGAAAAAGCAGAUGAGAAACUCGAGACCUCUAUUCCCAUUGAGUCAGGCCAGGGUAGCGUGCAAUGCCCACCCAACCCACUAAUCUACCUCGUGUUGAUGGCAUUACGAACUGGCCCCGUCAUUAUCUAGGACAUUUAGCUGGACUGAAUCCUAAAUCUCGACCUUGUGUGUGGAAGCCUGCUGACUGAAUGUGGAACCUUC